rnacentral:rRNA from 1 species
UCAAUUAUUUAUAGCCCUGGCUAUAGGAAAUUGUUAGUGGCAGACGGGUGAGUAAUGCGUAGGAAUCUACCUAGUAGUACGGAAUAGCCAUUAGAAAUGGUGGGUAAUACUGUAUAAUCCCCGAGGGGGAAAGAUUUAUCGCUAUUAGAUGAGCCUACGUUAGAUUAGCUAGUUGGUGAGGUAAUGGCUUACCAAGGCUAUGAUCUAUAGCUGGUCUGAGAGGACGAUCAGCCACACUGGAACUGAGAUACGGUCCAGACUCCUACGGGAGGCAGCAGUGGGGAAUAUUGGACAAUGGGCGAAAGCCUGAUCCAGCUAUGCCGCGUGAGUGAAGAAGGCCUUCGGGUUGUAAAACUCUUUCAAUAGGGAAGAUAAUGACGGUACCUAUAGACCAG